CCGUGGGCGUAGGAGAAUUGGUUGGGGCUGCUCCUAGUACGAGAGGACCGGAGUGGACGCACCACUGGUGUUCCGGUUGUGUCGCCAGACGCAUUGCCGGGUAGCUAAGUGCGGAAGAGAUAAGUGCUGAAAGCAUCUAAGCACGAAACUUGCCAAGAGAUGAGUUCUCCCAAUCUAAGAGAUAGUAAGGGUUGUUGUAGACUACGACGUAGAUAGGUCUGGUGUGUAAGUGUAGUGAUACAUUGAGCUAACAGAUACUAAUUGCCCGAGAGGCUUAACUAUACAACGCUCAAG
rnacentral:rRNA from 1 species